rnacentral:rRNA from 1 species
CAGCAGCCGCGGUAAUACCGGCGGCCCGAGUGGCGGUCACUAUUAUUGGGCUUAAAGCGUCCGUAGCCGGGUUGGGAAGUCCUCCGGGAAAUCUGGCCGCUUAACGGUCAGAAUGCCGGAGGAUACUCCCAGCCUAGGGAGCGGGAGAGGCCGAGGGUAUUCCCGGAGUAGGGGUGAAAUCCUAUAAUCCCGGGAGGACCACCUGUGGCGAAGGCGCUCGGCUGGAACGCGUCCGACGGUGAGGGACGAAGGCCAGGGGAGCAAACCGGAUUAGAUACCCGGGUAGUCCUGGCUGUAAACGAUGCGGACUUUGUGUCGGACAAGCUAUGAGCUUGUCCGGUGCCGGAGGGAAACCGUUAAGUCCGCCGCCUGGGGAGUACGGCCGCAAGGCUGAAACUUAAGGAAUUGGUGGG